rnacentral:rRNA from 1 species
GUCGAGGGGCAGCAUCAUCAAAGCUUGCUUUGAUGGAUGGCGACCGGCGCACGGGUGAGUAACACGUAUCCAACCUGCCGACAACACUGGGAUAGCCUUUCGAAAGAAAGAUUAAUACCGGAUGGCAUAGUUUUCCCGCAUGGGAUAAUUAUUAAAGAAUUUCGGUUGUCGAUGGGGAUGCGUUCCAUUAGGCAGUUGGCGGGGUAACGGCCCACCAAACCAACGAUGGAUAGGGGUUCUGAGAGGAAGGUCCCCCACAUUGGAACUGAGACACGGUCCAAACUCCUACGGGAGGCAGCAGUGAGGAAUAUUGGUCAAUGGACGAGAGUCUGAACCAGCCAAGUAGCGUGAAGGAUGACUGCCCUAUGGGUUGUAAACUUCUUUUAUACGGGAAUAAAGUUAGCCACGUGUGGCUUUUUGUAUGUACCGUAUGAAUAAGGAUCGGCUAACUCCGUGCCAGCAGCCGCGGUAAUACGGAGGAUCCGAGCGUUAUCCGGAUUUAUUGGGUUUAAAGGGAGCGUACGCGGGUUGUUAAGU